rnacentral:rRNA from 1 species
UAGGGAAUCUUCCACAAUGGACGCAAGUCUGAUGGAGCAACGCCGCGUGAGUGAAGAAGGUCUUCGGAUCGUAAAACUCUGUUGUUAGAGAAGAACACGAGUGAGAGUAACUGUUCAUUCGAUGACGGUAUCUAACCAGCAAGUCACGGCUAACUACGUGCCCACC